rnacentral:rRNA from 1 species
CACGUAGGGCGCAAGCGUUGUCCGGAAUCACUGGGCGUAAAGGGCGCGUAGGCUGCCUGGUAAGUAGGGGGUGAAAUCCUGCGGCUUAACCGCAGGGCUGCCUUCUAAACUGUCAGGCUUGAGCACGGUAGAGGCAGAUGGAAUUCCCGGUGUAGCGGUGGAAUGCGUAGAGAUCGGGAAGAACAUCAGUGGCGAAGGCGGUCUGCUGGGCCGUUGCUGACGCUGAGGCGCGACAGCGUGGGGAGCAAACAGG